CUCAGAUGUCACACAUGGUCACUUCCACGAUGUUCUAUCGGACACGCAGACUAAUCCUGAUUCGUGGAAGGGGACUACACAAGGGGAUGAAUUCCGGGAGACUCUCCAACACCUUGCACUGCAAGUUUCACUAGAGGCAAAUGCAUCUGUAUCCUGACAAUAGAUGAAAUCAAUCAAAUCAGAUGGGAGAAGCCUUCAGACAUUUUUUAGCUAUCUCCACAGAACGAAGUUAAGCUCAGGACCCGGUGUCACCUUCAACUUGAGUUGGACUAGUGCCAGCGAGGCACAACCCUGCCAGCAAAGCAGAGAAGUGUGAUCCCAUCAGAAGGAAGCGGACUGUCCUUUUCCAGUUGAGACAAGGUACUCAGGACGCAGUUACAAUAUCCUACAUUUUCCAUCGCUCCAAAGGCAAUGGGUUGAUGGAUCCCCAUGACCAGCAGAUUCAUGGCUCACGCUUUGGUAAAGUCUCUCAAAGCUGCACUUGGCAAGAUAACUCAUGAGACGGACGUGUUACUCCUCUACUUCAACAUAAUAGGGUUUUCGAUGGAACGGAGUGGGUGCACCCUCUUUUGGUUUAUUCGCACUGCAUCUAAACCUAGUCCUAAUUAUAUCUCGGCUCCAGGCAGUGAUCAGGGCUAUACCUUCCAUCUCUUGCGGGCUAACAGGGCUCUGCAUGAUCUGUGAGGUCCCGCAUCCUGGGCUGCAUGGCCACUUCCCUGAAAUACAACGUGGGUACUUGGUGUUGGCAUUUUCCACGGCACUGCAGCAGUGCCCGCGUAUCUUCAGAAGAGGACCAAAGGCUGCCGGAGAAGAGGCCUCAGGUUUACAGACUCCCACUCGGAGUCCACAGCGCUCACGGAGAUGAAGGGGUUUACAUAAACAUCUUGCAUGAGACAGACAGGCCACACUGUCCUGUGGCCUCAAGAAUAAAUCUAGUCAUUUUCAACCCCCAAGAUUUAUCUGUCACUCAUGCUUCAUGUGCAUCAAAGGUUGGCUGUCGCUCUCCUGCAUACGUCCUCCCUUUGGGAUCCCAACUGCCAUUGCAACCUCUUCUUGGGACAUUGCUAGUUAUCACAGCAGAGGGCAAACAGGACAUGGAAUACCAUGCAUCGGUUCUCUGCACUUUUGCUCAUGUUUCAUUGGCCAGACCAAGCCAGAUGGCCAUGCCAGCAUAAGCCUCCCCAAGGCAAGCUAGUGGAUAUU